rnacentral:tRNA from 1 species
GGGAGUGUAGUUCAGUGGUAGAGUGCUUGCCCAGCAUGUUGCAAAGCUCUGGGUUCAAUCCCCAGUACCACUCCCC